AGGAAAGCAGGGGAUCGUAAGACCUUGCGUUGAUGGAGCGGCCGAUAUCUGAUUAGCUAGUUGGUGGGGUAAAGGCCCACCAAGGCUUUGAUCAGUAGCUGGUCUGAGAGGACGACCAGCCACACUGGAACUGAGACACGGUCCAGACUCCUACGGGGGGCAGCAGUGGGGAAUUUUGGACAAUGGGCGCAAGCCUGAUCCAGCCAUUCCGCGUGAGUGAAGAAGGCCUUCGGGUUGUAAAGCUCUUUCGCAAGGGAAGAAAACUUAUCUAAUAACACUAGGUGAGGCUGACGGUACCUUGAUAAGAAGCACCGGCUAACUACGUGCCAGCAGCCGCGGUAAUACGUAGGGUGCGAGCGUUAAUCGGAAUUACUGGGCGUAAAGCGUGCGCAGGCGGUUCUGUAAGUCAGAUGUGAAAUCCCCGGGCUCAACCUGGGAACUGCGUUUGAAACUACAAAGCU
rnacentral:rRNA from 1 species